UGGAUUGAUUGAUUAAUUCUACUAUAAUUUUAUAAAAUAAUUUUGGAACACUUAUUAUUUAUUACAUGUCAUUAUGGGGCCAAUUAGAGGAGGACAACAGAGGCUAAAAUAGGGUGUCCAAAUUGGUUUUUAUUUUUCAUUUUAUUGGGGCUUGAGGGAGUGAGAGUGAGAGUGGGAGCAACAUGGAGGAGGGCCCCUCUUUGCAUAAUUUUGGUGGUAUUUGCAUAACAAAAGCAUGACAUCUGAGGCGUAAAGUUGGUUCCCACCCCACACUUAUCCAUCUAAAUCCUUUUUUUUUAAUUUUUAAAUAAUUUGUGUGAGAUGGGCCCACCACUUCAAAUCCCCACGUGUCGCUUCCUGGUUGCUUUGGGAAUUACACGUAUCAACGGCCCACAUUCCAGUUCACGUCAUGGUCAGGUACCCAUCGCCUGCGACCCACCCGUUCCUAUCUUCCUAACCACCUCUACUACUUUUCCCAUUACACCCUUAAUCGCUUCCCUUAUUUCAUAUUUAGCCAAACUUAAUUUACUAUUUAGCCACAUCACGUAGGUCCUAUUGGUUACCCAAUUAUAGUCCGUCGAAAUUCGUGCCGCAGCAAAUAAUUACCCGUCCGCAGCCCCCAAAUCAAAAUAUCCUAUUAGUAUAUUUUUUUCCCAAACUCCAUAAAUUUUAUUUUUAUAAACAAAGGCCUUCGCCAUCUCAAUACAAAAUAUUUUGAUCUCUCUCUUAUUUUACGUUCUUAUUUCUCUCUCUCAAAACCCUAAGCUGUCACUGAAGAAGAGAUCAGACUCUGCUACUUCUAGCUAGUGUUUCUACUUACAUCUCUCCCAUGGAGAGCACCGACUCCUCCGCCGGUUCCCAACAAUUACAGAAUCAUCAUCAGCCAAACCUCCCGCCAGGGUUCCGCUUCCAUCCGACCGACGAGGAGCUCGUGGUUCACUAUCUCAAGAAGAAGGUUAUCUCAGCUCCUCUCCCUGUUUCUAUCAUCGCCGAAGUCGAUCUAUACAAGUUUGAUCCAUGGGAGCUUCCAGCUAAGGCGACGUUUGGAGAACAGGAGUGGUACUUUUUCAGUCCACGAGAUCGGAAGUAUCCGAACGGAGCCAGGCCCAAUCGGGCGGCGACGUCCGGGUACUGGAAGGCAACUGGCACGGAUAAGCCUGUAUUAACUUCUGGAGGAUCUCAGAAGGUCGGCGUUAAAAAGGCGCUCGUCUUCUAUGGCGGUAAACCUCCGAAAGGGAUUAAAACCAAUUGGAUUAUGCACGAAUACAGACUCGCUGAAAACAAAGCCAUAAACAAACCUCCUCCAGGUUGCGAUUUGGGCAACAAGAAAAACUCUCUCAGACUUGAUGAUUGGGUACUGUGUCGAAUCUACAAGAAGAACAACACGAAUAGGGCAGUGAUGGAUCACGAGAGGGAUCAAGAAGCGAUGGAGGAGUUGUUGGGGCCAAUGAACAGCAAUAAUCAUAAUCACAAUCACAGUCAUAAUAAUAUUCCAGUACCUCAUCCGAUGGGCCCACAUAAUGGCAAGCUACAACUACUACUACCAAAGGCGGCGACACUACUAAAUUAUGGGGCGUUGAACGAAAAUGACCACAACCUGUUCGAUGGAAUGCUAAGCAAUGAUCAUGCCAAUAUUAAUAGCAAUACAACAAAUACUACUAACAAUGCUUCACUGCUCUUGCCACCUUCUUCAAAUAUGUCCCUCAAACGCUCACUCAUUCACGGUCUUUACUGGCCCAACGAGAUUGUGGACGAUGAAGAAGCAGCGGCUGCUGGGCCCUUAUCGUCUUCCUCAAGCAAAAGACUGCAACUGGAUGAUAGUUGUACGGCCGCCACAACGACCACCUCGAUGGGCGAGGGAAAUCAAUCGACUUCAAUAGCCUCACUGCUUAGCCAGCUCCCGAACCAAACGGCGUCGUUGCACCAACAGACAAUGCUCGGAGCAUUGGGGGGAUCUGAUGGGCUAUUCCGGGGAUCUUAUCAAUUGCCCGGAAUGCACUGGUAUUCAUAAUUUAUAGGUACUUACUAUAUAGUUCAUUUUACAAUGAAAUUAACAUGAAUUAUAAUAGUACUAGCUAGUGGCUGUUGUUGCUGCUGCUGCGCGCGUGUCAUCACGUACGGCGUAGGGUCGCUUUGCUGAUCAUUAUUUAUUCUUAAGGGAAAUACGUACCCCACCCUCAAGGACUUAAAAUUUCAGCCAUGCCAUCCGUCCUGAGAGAGAACAGAUCGAGACAUAUAAUGUGGCUGACUACGACUGAUUGUAUAUAUUAUACCGUAAGAAAACAACGGCCAACCCAAUACCCAUCCACAUCGCUUUCUAAUGACGUAUUACAUGUUGGUUUCAAAUCAUAUCCUACAUUUUACAUAUUUAUAUAUAAAUAAAUUCAUAAGUAAUAUUACCACUUUAUAUUUUAUGAUAUAGGAUAAUUACUAUUUUAAUAAUUACAGUAUUACCUAGUAAUUAUACAAUUAUUUUUAAAAAACACUUAAUUAAUUCCUUGGUAAUUGUUCUUAGUUUUUUUAAAAAUACUUAUAUGCAAUAAUAGUUAAUUAUUAUUAUUAUAAUGCAGAGAAAAUUUGAAUAUUUCACUCCUAAAAAUCUAAAUUGUUGAUCGGUUUUGUCAAACGGACUCUGGCCAUUAAUUUUAAUGCACAAAAAUGAAGAGUUUAAUUCUUUUAGGCUUUCCGCGUACAAAUAAGUUAUGUUUCCUGAAAUAGAUAGGUUAGCAAGUUAAUUAGACAUUAUUAUUGUUCAGAUUUCCACGAUUACUAAUAACAUUCCGAACUUAAUUAAAUUUUUUUAAGGAAAAAAUGACAAAUCAAUUCAUAUAAGUUAUCCUAGCUUUACUAGCUUGUUAGGUUUACUUUCUUUUCCAUUUGACUGAGGAUAAGAUUCUAGCACAUAUAUGUCAAUAGCUUUCUGAUUAUACAAUCAUAACAGAAACUAUUUCUUCCUAAUUUAUAUAAUAAAAUAAAUGUGAUUAAUUUUGCUAUUAUAUAUAGAUGUGUAUAAUUUCACACUGCCUAAAUAUAUAUAACGUAGAGAAAGCGAAACUAUACAUAGAUCUGAUGAGAGGUAACAAUGUGAUAAUAUCGAAUUUAAUUAAGCCUAUAUAGAUAAUAUAUAACUAAAAAUUAGUGGACACUAAAGUUUCAUUUGUGGUCAAGAUCGAUAAAAUACCUAAUUAGCUAGAUAAACCUUAAAAGAAUUUUCAAAGUACUAGUAACCAAUAAAACAGAUCUUAUCUAGAUAAAAAAACUAUGUCCUUGAAUAAUAACCAAAGUAGUAGUACUACUAAAUGAACGAAAUACCUUUCUGGUGGUUAUUAUAGAUAGAUUACAUAAUUUCUAUCCUUAGCCACCUAGUUAGGUAGCUCAUAACCUGGACCAAUUGCAGCAGCACAACUAAGGAAAAACCACCAGUUAGAUUAUUUUGAUUUUACUUUAUUAAUUACCUUUUUACUUAACCUAUAUUCUUAUAAUUUAUUUAUAUAUGUUCAAAAGAAAAAUAUUUUCAUGUGUGGCCGUGGGAGUCAUUUUCUUUUAAUAAAAUUAGAGUGUGAUUAGACGUAGCUAAGUAUACUCCAAUAUGACCUUUGAGGUCACAUAAAUUGACAAGAAGAGACUACCUCACAAAAUUUAUAGUCUUUUCUAUAUCUCUAUGCUGCUGACAAUAUAUAUAUCAUGGGACCCCAUUCUUUGCAAUCAUCUUAAGGAAUCAUUAUCUUCAACCACACAAAAAUUAAAUAACUUUUAAUUAGCCUUCCAUUCCUGGAAAAAGUACAAAACUGCUUUACAAAAAUUUUGCUACCAUAUUACUUAAUUCUGCAAUAUAUCAUUUUCCAUGACGAAAAUGCGCUAUUAUAUCUCCUUUGAUCCUCUUAUGUGUGAAUGGUAUAAUACGAUGCUUUCUGAAAAACCCUAGAGAACUUUUGCCAAAACUAAAUGACAAUAGAAAAUUAGGGUAAAUAAUCUUGCUUCUCUGUGCCGGCCAUUAAUUCUUUUUAGUGUGCUUUUAUAAUAUAUAUUGUGAGAACGAUAUCGAUAUAUAAAGCAUAAUAAUACAAGUACAUAUCAAAUUAAUUGUAUACAAACAAUAUCUUUCACAUUUAAACAAAGUGGUGCAUAUAUAUACCUCCAAAAAUAGUAGAACAAGCAUUAUAAUUUAUUUUUGUAUAGGUUGCUAGAGUGAUCAAGAUUCGUAAAAAUUGGUGGUUAUUCUCCGUAGCUUUAAUAUUGACGUAAUAUUACAUAUAUAUAUAUAUAUAUACACAAGGUUAUUCCAUAUCAUAUUUAAUGGUUGAGAAGAGAUUAAUAAAACGAACUUUUUUUUUAUGAUUAUGCAUAGUCCAGUAGAGAUCUCCAAAUAAGUCAGCCCCUCCAUAUAUAGUACUACGUACGAACUACUAAAUUAGUUCAAUAGAACUUCUAAUCAAAAUAUUAAUUUGUAAUUUUAGUAUUUCAAUUUAUUACCAAAAGAAAAAUUAAUAUAUCAUUCAAUAUGUGAAUUUCAAUUGCCAGUUGCUUUUAAAUUUAAGUUGUGGGCGCACAUUAAUUAAUACUUGAAUAAAGUUGAAUUAUAUAAUUAAAUGUCCCCAAGCCUAUCUAUUCACACAUAUAUAUAUAUGCUACGGUCGUUUUCCAUGACUAUAUUGAACUUGACCAGAGAAAAGGGGAGAAGUAUUAUUAAUUCACGAUCACGUACGCCUUAAUUGGUGUGUGUUACUCCAACCAAUUAAAACCCUGUUCACGAUUCUUACCCGUCAUAUAUAUUAUUUAAAUAUACAUCAGGUAAUUUAGUGGCCUGGAAUUUUAGCUCUAUCUUCCCAUCUCCAAAUUUCAGGCCCAUGUGAAGCCCAAAGGCAUCAGGCCUAGUAAUUACUAUUCUCUGAUUGCAUUGAUCUUUCUUUCUUUUCUAUUUUUUUUUAAGAUAGAAUUGCUAUAUAUUGGUGUAAUUAAGUAUUAGGUCUUAUAUAAUUUUAAAAAAAUAAAUUUUAAGCAAUAUUACUAACUAAUUGUGAGACGCUGUGUUAAACAAUACUGCUGCUCAAUAACAAUACUCUUUUUAAGACCCUAUGAUCAUGUGAGAUUUCUAUAAAAGCAUUGUUAUUUGAACAAUUGGCACGAGUCUAAUAAUAUAAUGAGUUGAUGAAGUGACACUUUAUAAUUAAUUAUUUAUAUUAUUUAUUAAAUUAAAAUAUAGAAUUCUUAUUAAAAUAUAUCAAUAAUAAUAUAUAAGAAGUCUUAUAUUGUUGAAUAUAUAAUGUGCUCCUUAAUUAAUUAGUAUUUCUCUUUUAGUAAUUACAUUUCCUCAUACUCGUCAUCUUUGGGGGAUGGCCUAUUAUUAGCUUGCUACCAUAGAUGGUUGAGAGGAACUGUUGAAAAAAUAAGAAAAAUUGUAAACUUCUUCCUAUGAUUAUAAUUGAGUUUUUUGUAUUCAUAUUUCCAAUUUUUUACAAUAUAAGAGAUUUGAAAGUCUCUUGUUUUUGUCUGUUGUUAUUUAUUCUCCUUUUAUCAGCUUUUAGUGAUUUUACUAUAAACCCAUGUAAAUAUAUACAUGAUGGAAGAGGUUCUAUUGACUUAUUACUCGAACAAAAAGUGACCAAAUAUAUUAUAAGAAGAGUAGAUUAAGGAGACCGAUUUCGAAAAAGAAAUUAUUAAUUAAGAGGGGUUUUAGAUAAUCUUUUACAAAUAUUAUUAUAUAUUAAUGAGAAUCGCCAUAUAUAUAAAUUCAACAACCAUGAUUUCAAAGAAAAUAAAAAUAGAGUUAUCGUCAUAUAAAGAUAUACGAAGGGCAACCUGCAGUGCACGAUCACAUUAAUAAACUUACUAGACCUAACUACCACCCACCACAUACGAUACACGUACGUCAUUUCUGUAUCAUUAAGCUGUGGUCAUUAGUGGACUAGAAACUAAUAAAUGAAAAAUAAUAGUCAUAAGUCAUUAUAUAGAAAUAAUCUUCACUUAAUUAGUUCGAAUAUGAAACUUAUAUGUGUAUAUGAGUUGUGUCAUAAUAAGCAAAAUACUUGCAAUAUAAAUUAAAAUUUUCCAGUAAUUUUAUUAUUAUAUAUAAUUAAAAUAAUGUGACGAAAUUUAUAUGCUUAGAAUUUUACUUAUUAAUUAUAAAAGGAAAAUAAAUACUAAUUGGUUAAUUUGAAGAAUAGUGAUGGUGGAUAAUUUGAAAUAAUAGAGUAUAGUGAGGGAAAAGAAAUUAUGUAGGAAGAAGAAUUACAAUGUCAAACUUCCGGUUUACCGAGUGGUUAAUUAGUUUAGUUGUCAGGUCAAACGAUGCGGCGGCUUCUAAUAAUAAUUCCACUACUAGUGGCCAUUGAUUUUCAUUUCUUUCUUUGCCCUUUUGAGCAAAAUAAUAACUUUAUUAGUCAACAAUUCAAUAGUCAAAGCACAACCUUUAUGAAAGUCUCUGAACGAACAAGUCGUCUUAUAUACAUUGUUUUCGUUCUGAAUAGAAAAAUCAUUAGUUUUAGUACUUUUAUUCUAAUAAAGUUCUUCAUCAAAUAUAUCUAUCAAAAGAAUUGUUCUUCGUCAAAUAUCAAUAAUUAAUAUAACGCAGCUCAUAAAGUCGUAUAUAUAUAAGAGUUUCACAACACCCCAAUGCAAACCAAACAAUUUAACCAUUAAUAUUUCUCAUUUCGAUAGGCAUAAAAUAAAACACAUAUACUCCACUCGAUCUCUCUCUGCUCUACUCUACCCACCUCAAUAUUCCUUCAUUGGCCUUAAUUGCAAACAUGCAAAGACUGAGUCAGAAGCAAAUGGGAGAAAAGCUUCAGAUUGGAUCCAAAAUGGAGAGGCUAAGACAGAGUCUUAUGAUAAGGCAAAAAAGUUAUAAUAAUAAUGUGGUUCCGAGUCCUAAAUCUCGCCUAGCACGUACGUUUUCCGCAAGCAUUAGCGAAUCAGCUCGUAAUUUUGUCCGAUGCCACAGUGGUGGCCGAUCAUAUGCGGCGCCAGCAGGGGAGGUCUUGAUAAGAAGGGCGCUCACGCCGCCCAAACGCCGCAUGACGCUUCGCUGGUGGAAUUUCCGGUCAACUCCUAGUCGACUUUCUAACAUGUCCAUGGCUUAAUUAUUUAUUAAUUUUUGUUUUCUUCAACAAAUUAUGUAUAGAGAUCAUAGUUGUCUUUGAGUUUCAGUACCUUAUUAACAUUCCUUUAACAGUUUUUUUCCCCUUUCGGUAGGGGUGUGUAAUUUUAGGUGCAUAUGAAUUAUAUGUACUUAUUAUAUAGUGAAAAAAAUUCCUUUAUGUUGCUUCUUUUCA